rnacentral:rRNA from 1 species
GACAGAGGGGGCAAGCGUUGCUCGGAAUUACUGGGCGUAAAGGGCGCGUAGGCGGGAUGGCAAGUCGGUCGUGAAAUCCCUCGGCUCAACCGAGGAACGUCGAUCGAUACUGCUGUUCUUGAGGAUUGCAGAGGAGACUGGAAUUCCCGGUGUAGCGGUGAAAUGUGUAGAGAUCGGGAGGAACACCAGAGGCGAAGGCGGCGACCUGGAUGGGAACUGACACUAAACUACGAAAGCGUGGGGAGCAAACAGG